rnacentral:rRNA from 1 species
UACGUAGGGGGCAAGCGUUGUCCGGAAUCAUUGGGCGUAAAGAGCGUGUAGGCGGUUCGGUAAGUCCGCUGUGAAAGUCCAGGACUCAACCCUGGAAUGCCGGUGGAUACUGCCGGGCUAGAGUCCGGAAGAGGCGAGUGGAAUUCCUGGUGUAGCGGUGAAAUGCGCAGAUAUCAGGAGGAACACCGAUGGCGAAGGCAGCUCGCUGGGACGGUACUGACGCUGAGACGCGAAAGCGUGGGGAGCAAACAGG